ensembl:lncRNA
CCAUAGCAGUGACAAUGCCAGAUCCUUAACUGCUAGGCCACCAGGGAACUCCAGUUCCUUGCAGUAUAUUAGGAGGAAGAGAAAUAUGUUACAAGGAGGAGGACGUAUGGGAGAAGUUUGUGAAUGUGAGCUGGGCAGAAUUACAAAGAGAUUUGGCGAUUAUCUGGAAGUAAAACAUGCACAGUGCUCUCUGGGGAAAUUAACUGCCAGAGGAGAAGCAAAUCAUGAGAACACAGUGACUAACGUUGUCUUGUAAGGACAGUUAGGUGGAUGAUGGCAGUUCUGUUACUUAAAGAAAAAAAAUGAACCAAUAAAUUGGAGAAUGGAAGACAAAUCCAUGUGAGAAGAACUAAGCACUAAACAUACACACACACAUAUAUAUGUAUGUGCCUUUUUAGGGCCACAACCGUGGCAUAUGGAGGUUCCCAGGCUAGGGAUCCAAUAUUUUGGAGCAAAACUAAUUAAGGAUACAUAUAUAUACUAAGGAUAUAGCCUUUUAGUGCCUCUCAUUGUCAAAAGGGCUGGGAGAUAUUUUUAGAGGCUAUAGGUAGGGAAGAGUCACUCCUGAAAAAUUCUCAAUUUUUAAAAUUCAGAUCAGAAUUUUUUUACCUUUGAAUUUUAUUUUUUAAAUUUAUUUUUUUCCUAUUGAUUUAUAAUGUGUUAAUUUCUACUGUACAGCAGAGUGAUUGUUAUAUAUAUAUAUUCUUUUCAUACUCUUUCCCAUCAUGGUCUAUCUUAGGAGACUGGAUAUAGUUCCCUGUGCUCUACAGCAGGACUUUGUUGUUUAUCCCUUCUAUAGUUUGUAUCCAGAGCAGAAUUUUUUAAAGGGGUGUUGCUUGCCACUGAAUUACUGGAAAGUAUUUGUGUAUCACCAUCAAAAGCCACUAUAGGGAUGGCCAAAUAAAUUUUCAGACUGAAAAGUAAGCUAGAGAAAAAAACCCUAUGUGGUUAUAUAGAAAUAUAGAAAUUAUUUGAAAAAAAAUUUUAUGUCAUUUUAGGGCCACACCCGCAGCAUGUGGAGGUUCCCAAGCUAGGGGUUGAGUUGAAGCUAUAGCUGCCAGCCUACACCACAGCUCAUGGCAACACCAGAUCCUUAACCCAUGGAGUGAGGCCAGGGAUCGAACCUGCAUUCUCAUGGAUACUAGUCAGAUUUGUUUCCGCUGAGCCACAACAGGAACCUCCCAUUUGAAAUGUUUUAAUCAAUCACAUUAAGUAUUGACCUUGAUCAUAACUUGAAAAUGAGAAUGGUGGUGGACUUUCUAAGUAUGCAGGGGUUCAGUGAUGGUUUCCUCUGGGGGGAAUGUAUAUACUGGACAUCUAUUAGGUAAACAUCUCUCCUCCCAAUCAGUAGAGUGGGCCAGUGCAGCUUUUACCGCUCAGGCUGUGGUGAGGACCCCUUCAAGGUGGAGUGUCACCCCUUGUCCCUUUUAUUACUAGCUACUGGGGCUCCCAGAGAGGUCCAUCUGCACAUUCUCUGUGAGUGGGCUCGUGUUUCUUCUUAAAAGAGAAGGGUGCUUCCUGGAAGCACAGAAAUCUUUUGUUGGGUGAGAGAAGCUCUAGAUCAGAACUAUAAGCCAGCAGGUUCUCUUGCACUGGCCUUGAACUUUGGGGGAAGACCGAGGAAGUGCAGACCUGUGGUACCGCCCCCUUCAGGGCAGUGGGUGACUGCACCUCUCCCAGCCAUUUGGAGGGUGUUUCUUGUUCUGUAUGUCACGGGUGUCGCUUCUAUGGAUGGGGCUUCCAGAGAGUCAUGCUUUUGUUUCUCUGCUGAAAUCAGUGUAAACCCACUGGCCCAGCGUUAGUGAGAGCAGCUCUCUGUGCUAACAGGCUGUGCUUGCAGUUCAGUGUGAGAUCUUGAUGGUUGCUGCCUUCUUUCUGUACACAUUGUUGGGAAGUAACUUUGGCUCCAGGGCUGCCGUAAUAUCAGAAAGAUGGGCAAUGAGUGACUGUCAGCUGGUGGUAUUUUACCAGGUGCAUACCACCACGUCACCUCUGCGACUUGCAAGUCUCUUGCUUACAGCAGAAACAACAUUGUCUAUCAACUGUACUUUAAUAAAUAAAAAAAAAAAAGAAGUCAUCUGCCUGGUAUGCAGAGAUUUGGGAGUUGAAGUCUGGCUGUUGGAGUAAAAAGAAAAAAAUUUCCAUAGGUGAUGAUGUCAUGAAAUCCCACUUGAAUUGCUGGAAUAGUUAUCCCAGUGACCAGAAAAUUAUUUCUUUCCUCUGUAGCACUUAACAGUUGGCUGCCGUUCGCUGUUAUCUUAAGGCAUCCCCAGAAAUACUAGUGUUAUUUGAUCAAAUCUGUGGGGAGCAUGUUGUGGGGCCAAAGAUGAUCAUCAUGAGGCAUUCAAUCAGUUAGUUACUCUUUAAGGAAAGAUGGGAAAUGGAAAUGAAUGGCCAGUGACAACAGUAAUGACACCUGGAAAGGGAUGGCCCCCAAAAUAGGCAUCUCCUUUGGAGGAUGCGUAUUUGUGAUGUUGUCAGUAAUUGAGCAGAGAAGUUAACAGCAAGGCACUGAAAUGAGAGGGGACUGUUGUAACACGCAGCCUCUUUCAGGGGUUCAUAAAAGUAGGUGCUAUUUGAUAGCAGAGCUAGUAAGAGCUACGAGGAACCUCCCUGAAUUAUGAAUGGCGAUAGUAAUUAACGAGUAUGUGAACUGCUCUCUGCGAUGACUGAAAUCUCAUUCAAGUUUCCUGUCCUUUUUACUGGUUUCACUCUGCUUUGUGGGAGGAAGUCCCAGGCCUUCAACUACAUGGAUAUGAAAUUCAGAUCUUUAAAAGCGUAGUGUACCAACCCAAGAUUUUCCUUGGGGUAUUCAUCUGUCUAGAAACGAAAUGCUUAAAAAAAAAAAAAAAA